rnacentral:rRNA from 1 species
CGCCUCUUGAAACAAACAUAAGAGGUCCCGCCUGCCCGGUGACUAUUAGUUUAACGGCCGCGGUAUUUUGACCGUGCAAAGGUAGCGCAAUCACUUGUCCUUUAAAUGAAGACCUGUAUGAAUGGCACCACGAGGGCUCAACUGUCUCCUUUCUCCUGUCAAUGAAAUUGAUCCCCCCGUGCAGAAGCGGGGAUUCCCCCAUAAGACGAGAAGACCCUAUGGAGCUUCAGGCACCAAAACAGACUAUGUUAAGCACCCUAACACAAAAGACAAAACUAACUAGACCCUGUUCCAAUGCCUUUGGUUGGGGCGACCGCGGGGAAACAAAAAACCCCCACGUGGACUAAGAGCACCCUUCACUCUUACAACCAAGGGCUACAGCCCUAAGUAACAGAAUCUCUGACCAUAAAUGAUCCGGUACAACCGAUCAACGAACCGAGUUACCCUAGGGAUAACAGCGCAAUCCCCUUCUAGAGUCCCUAUCGACAAGGGGGUUUACGACCUCGAUGUUGGAUCAGGACAUCCUAUUGGUGCAGCCGCUAUUAAGGGUUCGUUUGUUCAACGAUUAAAGUCCU